CAUGACUCGCAAAGAGAAGGGAAGAUGGAACUGCCAUUUUGCACGUGUCAAGUUUCAGGUCUUGACGUUGGGAAGUAAAAGAUCAGAGUGCUGGCAGAUUUUGGUGUCUAGUAAAGGACGGCUUUCUAGUGUAUAGAUAACACCUUCUAUCCAUGUCCUCACAUGGUGAAAAAGUGACUGUAAGUUUCCUGAGGCCUCCCCAGAAGCAGAAGCCUGUAUACUCGGCAGAAGUGUACUUCAAUAGGAUGUUGGAAAAGAAGACUUCCACUCUAAUAGGAUGAAAAAAUGAUCAUUUAUUUACAUCAUUCUGAUUUCUUUUAAUUGCUUCACAAUCCACUAUAAAGAAGAUUCGCUCUGACCCUAAAUUUUCUACUUUUUUUCCCACUUUUCUCUCACAUAAAUUAGGUGUUUCAUUCUUUUUCCUCCUUAUUAUUUUAUUUACACCAUUCUGUGUUGAGCACAGAAAGGUGGAAGUAUAUAGCCCUGUUCUCUGUUUUUAAUGCUCUGUAUAUUUUUGUUUCCUUUUCUGUGGAAUCAGUUUUUCAUUAUCCUUAUAGAAUCAGUUUUUCAUUAUCCUUAUAAGGAGAUGCCAUUUUUCUCAAUCUUUCCUUAAAAUCUAACUAACUUCUUUACUAAGUCAUUUCUGUUCCUUAUAGAAUAGUGAAUGUGACUGUUCUUAGUGUAUUGACUGGUCCCUUUACAUCAGCAUUGUAACUUUUAGGUAUUAGUUUACUUUCAUAUGAUUGUUAUUUCAUAUAUCAUUGUGAACAUAUUUUUUUCCAAAAAUAAAAUACAUAUUGACCUAAAAGAAAUUGCAUCUAAAAGAAAA
rnacentral:lncRNA from 1 species